rnacentral:rRNA from 1 species
UACGUAGGGUGCGAGCGUUAAUCGGAAUUACUGGGCGUAAAGCGCACGUAGGCGGUUCGUUAUGUCGGAUGUGAAAGCCCUUGGCUUAACCGAGGAAGUGCAUCCGAAACUGGCGAGCUAGAGUACGAAAGAGGAUCGCGGAAUUCCCGGUGUAGAGGUGAAAUUCGUAGAUAUCGGGAGGAACACCGGUGGCGAAGGCGGCGAUCUGGGUCGAUACUGACGCUGAGGUGCGAAAGCGUGGGGAGCAAACAGG